AUCUAGCUGACGAGUCCCAAAUAGAACGAAAUGCACGUUCUAAAU
rnacentral:hammerhead_ribozyme from 1 species